rnacentral:lncRNA from 1 species
CAAAGCUAGGAGGACAGGCUCUGUGCGGGGUGAGAGGUUAUGUCUUUUUAUGGACUCUUCGCUUCUCUUGGGGGUCUGGGGGAGACAUGGAGAAACUGAGGCUGCGGAUCCAUCACGCCUCCUGGUCUGUCAAGUGAAGUUAUAACAGAAUUACAAGAUGGAUAAUAAAAGUCACGGUUACAGACAGAGCUUUAGCUUUUGGAUCCUCCUGAAUGGCUUCUAACAGCGAGGAGGGAACGCUUAGAAUUUAGAACUCAGGAAUGGAAUUCAGGGCCAAAGGCAAACAUCCUGCAGCCCCCUCCCCCCCUAGUUUUUUUUUUUUUUUUUUUUUGUCUUUUUCUGUUUGUUUUAAAUCACAAAGGCGAUACUGUUAACGGUCAGGUUUUAAAACAGUUAUUUAUAUCACAAUUUCAGUUUAGGGAGGCAACUCGCUAUUGGCCCUGAUCAUUCUGUGUGGAUAACAAUACUGUGUACUCCAAGUUAGAUGGAAACGACGUGCAGGCAAGGAGUGGUGCAACUGUUCUGGUUUAUACCAGAGGAAAGUUGUCUUUGCUCAUGUCGUUUAAAAGGAAAUUCAGUACGUUAAAAAAAAAAAGAAGUAUAACAUGUUCUGAAUUUAAGGGCUAGUAUUUAAAAGCUACCUUUGGGCCCAGAAAAAAAAAUCCAAACUUUGGAAUGAAAUGAAGAUAGAAAUCUGGCAUCCAUAGCAUGCUUCUUCAUUUUAUUUGGAUUUGAUGGUUCACCUCAAAGUUGCUGGGACCACUACUUUAAGAUAUUUAUUCCAAGUUCUAGGUCUAAAAGACUGUGGAGUCUUUUUAAGCUAAGUGACUGGCUUAAGAGAAAAUGUAACUUUGUGUGAGAAAACACUUGCAAAUGUAGGCUAAAUAGUUUUAAAAACUAUACCUGCACCUCUUUCUCUGUUACUCUAAGAUUUACUGUUAAGAUAUAGACAACAUAGGGAGAGAGUGGUGGAUUUGUAUGACUAAGGCAUAUUGUACAUUUCUAUGAAUUUUCCAAAAAAAUAAACACAGGCAACAUAAAUGUUGGCAAAAUGAACUAGUUAACAGAUGUUUUAAAAGAUCAUGAAGUACUUUUCUGACAAAACUUUUCAAAUUAUAUCCUAGCCCGUAUGCUGAGCGGGAAUGACAUGCACAAUGAAGCUUUAGUGGUUCAGCACUCUAAUUUCUCCCUCUAGAUUCAUUUCAUUCUAGCAAGACUGAAAACAUGCGAGCAAUUAUUCAAUGCAAGUGGAAAGAGGACCUCAAAAUAUUAUGCAGGGAAAUACCACAAACCUCCAUGUUCUGCUUCCCAAUCUCUGCCCUUUUAAAUUUCUUACUGAAUGCAGACUUAGGGACAGAAACUUAAUGUACUUAGAUCUGUCAAGUGCUUACGUUUGUUCCAAGUAGCCACUAAGACUGCUAUUUCAUAUACUAUUUACACCAUGGAGAUGUGGCUGUGGUUUGGUAGAGGCAUGUACCAUAAUUAUUUUUUUUCCAGGAAACUUUUGUGGAAAUCUAGUUCACUGCUUUCAUUCUACAUGAUACUAAAAUGCUACACACUGGACAUUUCUAUAAUGACAUUUGUGCAGUCAACUCAAACGCAUAUUGUGUUACUUCAGUGAUCAUCCUCAUCAAGUGUUUUAGCCUUUAUCAGAGGGGAGAUGACUAGUUUCUGCUUAGGAGGCUUCCAGCUGGAGGACUUCAAGAAGAUUCCAUUUCUUUAGUAACUUUACUUUUGCUGUGAGUUCUUUUAUUUCUUUUCUCUCUUUGCAUCGAUAGGUUGCUUUUCCCUUCAGAUUCACAUCACAACCAGAAGACUAAUUAGGAUCUUGGGAAGCCCAAUACUGACCUCCCAUAAUUAUAAUUCAUGCCUAUUAUAUGAUGGUCUGUUGUGUUUUUUAAAAUUAUUAGGGUCAGAGCACAUACAGCUCUUGUGAAGGACUGUAGUUAGUUCUCAGCACCCACUUGGGGGAGCCCACAAUUAUCUCUAACUUGAGAUUCAUGGACUUCAGUGCCCUCUUCUGGACUUGUGGGUAUGUGCACCAAAGUGCACACACAUCCACAAUUAAAAAAUAUAAAUCUUUUUAAAAUUAGAUGACUGUUAUCAUGAGAAGGCCUUUUGCUAGCAUUCUAGAAAAAUUUUAUGCUGCUGAGAAGAACAUUGGUGUUUGAACGACACCCCAUGUCUUGAGCUGUCUUUUAUUGCUGGAAAAUCCUAAGUGCUCUCAGUUCUCUGUGUUCCAAGAAAAGAAUCACUGUAGUGCCCCUCAAGACAUCCUUCAUGAUUUUUAAAUCAUGGGACUCUGCAGCCUGAUUAUUUUUCAGUGCUGGUGAAGGUGACAUUCCCUUGAUUUGGUCUCAGACAGGAGUAGUCCAAGAUUUGUUUCUAGGAGGACCUGAUGAGAAGACUUCUAACACCCCCUUUAAUUUAAACAACCAUAGAGGGCUGGUGGCAUGGAACCUUUUCUUCAACCCAUAUCCACUCAGUUCUGUGAUCUAUAUCCGUGGCUACCUUCUCUGCAACUGUGCAGUGUACAAACUCACACAGCAGAUGGGAUUAAGAAGAGGAAGAACAAAAUGGAUGUGUAGAUCAGGCAGUUUGAAUGGUGAAUGGCCUUCCUUUGAGGUCCACUGUUCCUUACUGUGAUUUCUAAGAAGCUGUUCUUGCACAGAAUGCUGACCCAGCAAUUUCUCAGCCUUCAUUCUAAUACAUGGUAGGGCUGAGUGGAUGUUUUCAUCCUUCAGUGCCUUAGGAUUUCACUGAUGGAUGUUUGUUAUCUUCUCUCUCUUAGAUAAGUUAGUAACUACUGGGAAACAAGUGAUAACCCAGUUAGGAAAACUGGUGCACACACGACUCUGUCAGAUAUCUAGCUAUGAUAUAAGCCAGUAUGGUUGGGAUGUGACUGCCUAGUUUACAUUUGGUUGCAAACUAGAUAGCAAUGCCCUAAAUAUACAAGCAAAAUGUAAGCCCAACCCCUCCUCCCUCUUCCUAGAAUUUGCCAGAAAUGAAACCAUUUAUUUUUACAUUCACUUAUAACUUGCAUCUGUUGUCACUGACAAUUUGUCUGUCUUCUCUUCUCUCAGUGUUUCCUGUCAGAUCCGUAAGCAACUACACAAAGCCAAGCUAUGAAGUGUGUCAUUUGGAGCUGCCCAACCUUGCCAGGUUUCCUUACCAUUUAACGGCGCAGGCGAUGAGCUUGUGGAAGCCAUGGCUAGGCAAUUGGAAAAGGAAGAGUUGUGCUGUGCUUGCCUUAUCUCCCCUGGCCUUGAGUCAGAAUCUCUGCACCGAGACCAUUCAGAGAUAUUUAAAGGGCUCCCUCGGGUGGCGUGUGAAGGUCUCCCCGGGCACAUUUCCAGCUCUGCAGCCCUACUCCGUGGCAUGGUUUCAGCUAAUUUGAAAACAUCUGCUAGAGUAACUUCCCUGUUAGCUCUACCUCCGAACGUCUGGAGCAAUUGUACUCAAGUGCACAAGAAUCUCUUCCAAGGUCAAGUUGUGGAUGCUACAAAAUCAUGACGACUUUACAUGAACAUUCCCUCGCUCUUGGUGUGAGGAUUGAGCUCUGAGUGAAUGUUGCUGCCAUUUCCAUUUCUAUUUUCACAUACCCAUCUCAAUUUACCCCUCUUCCACCUUUUAAAUUAUGUUUCCAGUGUCCAGGAAUAGUCUUUCCUGACUUCCAUGUCUUUGCUUUUUCAUGUUGCUAUGCUGUAUUAUUUUCAUUGUUGAGAAUUUUCUGCCAGCAUUCAACAUGGUUUUAGUUUCUAUUUCUUUACCCAUUAUGUUUACAGUUGCUCAAGCCAGAAGCAGAAGAGAAAAAGCCAACAUCUUUACUUCCCCACACCAACUCAUCACAUUUUAUUGACUAAAUGCCUCCUUUCUCUCAAAUUAACAUUCUACUUCUCAGAAAUUCCCAGCUUACUAGAUGCCUUUAAUAUAUUUAUUCCCCUGAAAAUUUGGGAGAACCUUAGCAUUCACUAUUCAAUUUCAUCCUCCUCCAAACUGUAUUUUGAAGUUAUAUGCUAUAAAUAACUUUGAAAAGUUUAUUCAAGUUCCCAAAUUGAAUCUUUUGUUGUCUAAUGCUCUGUGAUCUAUGAGAUGAAGUGUGGAGUUUCAGCAUUGGGAUUUCCUGUAACUCAGUGAAAUGCAAUUUUGCGGCCUUAAAACUCUUGGCAUCGCUUGACCUGAUGGAGUUUUGUACUUCCAACUGCUUUGCCCAUCGUUUACUAAGUGGAGCUAUGUUUUAUGAAGUUCCUCUCUAUGUCUCACCACAAUUAUGUCCCCUCUUCAGAGCGUCCUUGCUUCAUUUCCUACAUGACAGAUAGCUAAAUAUUUUUAAGGACAGCUUGGGGUGGGAAUACCCCUGGUUUUCCCAGAGAAGAUUUACAUACAAUCCCCUCUGGUUCCAGAAUUAUUUCAUGUAUUCUUGGUAUGAAAUGUUGCAGGCUCAGGCUCUUCUACUAUGUUCUCUCUUUAUGACCUCCUUAUAGAAGAAAGAAUACUAUCUGGACCAGAGGAUGCAGCUUUUUCCUCCACAGGAGUUGAUAAUAUUACAACAGACAUAAAGGAUGUGGGGUCCAAGAUGCAGCAGAAGGGAAGAGAUAGAGAUGUUGCCAUAAUGUGAGCAAAUCCAAGGAGAAAGAGAACUUAGAAAUGACAGCUUCGAAAAAAAAGCAGAAUUUAGUCAACAUAGCAAGAGAACAGACAAUGUACUGCACUGAGCAGUGCUUUUGGUGUCAACUCACUACAGGUUUAGUGGUCACAGAUCAUAAAGAGGCAUUUUAUCAUGCUCACAGAAUCACAGAUUCAGACAGGAUAUCUUGUUCUUGUGGAAGAGACAGAUAUAUAUUAAAGUCUGAUCUUUCACAGAGUAAAAUGCUGCUUUAUAGAGGUAGAAUGCCUUGAGAGCAUGGAGCAGGUUUUAGUCCAUAAGACAGUAUAAACUGGGAAGUCUUUUCUAAGGAGUGGCUUUUGGGUUGCAUUUUCAUGGAGGCUUUUGGGGGUGGGGGGGAGGUACAAGCUGAGAGGCCAAGUCAGUGGAAGAACUGGGCUUGGUCACAGUGAGGAUUUGUGAAGGAUUCCUGUUGGGAUGUGAUGGCUGAGGAACCUUGGCACAUGCAUUGAGGAGUGUGAUUUUGUUCACAGUAAAAUAUCAUUUUUGAACAUCAUAUGGUGCAUAUGGCCAAGGGGCUCAGUGGGUACUGGAGCUUCCUUGAGUUUGACACCCUGAACCUACAUGACAGAAGGAGAGAACUAACACCCACAAGAUGUCCUCUGACCACCACAUGUGCACCGUGCUUUGAGUGAGCCCCUCCCCACAUCAAUCAAUAGAUAGAUGAAGAAACAAUAAAAGCAUCAUAAAAGUGCAUGAAAUAUGGUCUUGAAACUGCCAAGAAAAGAUCUCAAAACAUUCUACACACACACACACACACACACACACACACACACACACA